GCAUUCCUUAAUGAUCACCUUAAGGAAGAACUGUAUAUGAUGCAGCCGGAAGGUUUUGUCGACCCUAAGAAUGCUAACAAGGUAUGCAAGCUCCAGCGCUCCAUCUAUGGGCUGGUGCAAGCAUCUCGGAGUUGGAACUUUUGUUUUAAUGAGAUGAUUAAAGCGUUUGGGUUUAUGCAGACUUAUGGAGAAGCAUGCGUUUACAAGAAAGUGAGUGGGAGCUCUAUAGCAUUUCUCAUAUAUAAUGUGGAUGACAUACUUUUGAUGGGAAAUGAUAUAGAACUUUUGGACAGCAUAAAGGCCUACUUGAAUAAGUGUUUUUCAAUGAAGGACCUUGGAGAAGUUGCUUACAUAUUUGGCAUCAAAAUCUAUAGA
rnacentral:rRNA from 1 species